rnacentral:rRNA from 1 species
GACGAACGCUGGCGGCGUGCUUAACACAUGCAAGUCGAACGGAAAGGCCCUGCUUUUGUGGGGUGCUCGAGUGGCGAACGGGUGAGUAACACGUGAGUAACCUGCCCUUGACUUUGGGAUAACUUCAGGAAACUGGGGCUAAUACCGGAUAGGAUCUCCUGCUGCAUGGUGGUGGUUGGAAAGUUUCGGCGGUUGGGGAUGGACUCGCGGCUUAUCAGCUUGUUGGUGGGGUAGUGGCUUACCAAGGCUUUGACGGGUAGCCGGCCUGAGAGGGUGACCGGCCAAAUUGGGACUGAGAGACGGCCCAGACUCCAACGGGAGGCAGCAGUGGGGAAUAUUGCACAAUGGGCGGAAGCCUGAUGAAGAAACGCCGCGUGCGGGAUGACGGCCUUCGGGUUGUAAACCGAUUUCGACUGAGACGAAGCGUGAGUGACGGUAAUGGGUAAAGAAGCACCGGCUAACUACGUG